UGGGGAAUUUUCCGCAAUGGGCGAAAGCCUGACGGAGCAAUACCGCGUGAGGGAGGACGGCUUUUGGGUUGUAAACCUCUUUUAUCAGGGAAGAAUCGAUGACGGUACCUGAUGAAUCAGCAUCGGCUAACUCCGUGCCAGCAGCCGCGGUAAUACGGAGGAUGCAAGCGUUAUCCGGAAUUAUUGGGCGUAAAGCGUCCGUAGGUGGUUUAUCAAGUCUGCUGUCAAAGCGUGCGGCUUAACCGCAUAAGGGCAGUGGAAACUGAUGAACUAGAGUGCGAUAGGGGUAACAGGAAUUCCCAGUGUAGCGGUGAAAUGCGUAGAUAUUGGGAAGAACACCAGUGGCGAAAGCGUGUUACUGGGUCUGCACUGACACUCAGGGACGAAAGCUAGGGGAGCGAAAGGGAUUAGAUACCCCUGUAGUC
rnacentral:rRNA from 1 species